rfam:Triticum aestivum genome assembly, contig: Triticum_aestivum_CS42_TGACv1_scaffold_321492_4BL
GAUAUACUCCCUCCGUUCGGAAUUACUUGUCGCAAAAAUGGAUGUAUCUAGACGUAUUUUAGUUCUAGGUACAUCCAUUUCCAAGACAAGUAGUUCCGAACGGAGGGAGUACAUC